rnacentral:lncRNA from 1 species
UGAAGAUUAAGACUGCAAAGAGAGAGGGCUCUUCAGUCAGUUUAAGGAAAUUAAAGAGGAAUUUGUCAGCAGAAAGAAGAAAGAACUACAGGAGCUGAAGUAAAAGCCUUUGAAAGAGAUGGGCGUUCGAAACAAAAUGACUAAUGUUUUUCUCUAAAAGGGGUUUGGUGGGAGAGGGUGAAAGGUUAAUUAACUAUAUUAUCUGCCCGUUUAUGCCCAGCUGUGUAAAGCUCUAUCCGCCUCUGCCCUGGAUUUUAAAACCUAGAUUCGAGAAGCCAGGCCAGAGUCAGGAAGAGUGUCUUAGAGUAAUUGAAUUAGUUUCCGACAAGUCGACUAUUCACAACUGCCCUGGGCGCCUUCUUACAGAGCUCCUUACAUUGUUUGGGAAUUAAUUGAUUAAUAACAAGAAAAUGAUGAUAAGAGAAGAAACACGCGUCCACACAACUCUAUAAAGAGUGCUAGCUUGGGGAACUAUUAUGAAAGUCGGUAAUUGGGACUUUAUCAUCAGAGGUGUUUGAAAUUAAAAGUCAAACCUAUGCCAAGAGGAGUUUUCAGGCUGCUCUUUGCUUGGAGGUGGGUGAGACCCUUCCCAGCCUUGAGAAGAUGCGCGUGGUCCUGCCCCCUUUUAUGUUAAGCCCUGAAGAUUAACCCUGAGCUAACAUCUGCCACCAAUCCUCCUCUUUUUGCUGAGGAAGACCGGCCCUGAGCUAACAUCUGUGCCCAUCUUCCUCUAUUUUAUAUGUGAGACACCUACCACAGCAUGGCUUGCCGAGCAGUGCCAUGUCCACAUGCAGGAUCCAAACAGGUGAACCCUGGGCCACCGAAGUAGAAUGUGCACACUUAACCUCUGCACCACUGGACCAGCUCCCUCAAAUAAUUUUUUUAUGUCUAUUAAGAUGAUCAUGUGUUUUUUCUUUUUUAGUUAGUCAAUGCAGUGAUUGGUUUUCUAAUGUUAAACAAACCCCGCAUUCCUGGAAUAAACCCCAAUUGAUUAUGGUAUAUUAUCCUUUUAUGUAUUAUUGAAUUUGAUUUACUAACAUUUUGUUCAGAAUUUUUGCUUCUAUAUUCAUGAAGGACAAUGGUCUCAUGGAGUUUUUAUUUCUUAUACAGAAUUGGUACUAUUUCUUCCUUAAAUCUUUUUGUAAACAGUUUAUUGAGAUGUAAUUCACAUAUCAUACAAUUCA